UUGCUCUUCAACGAGGAAUGCCUAGUAAGCGCAUGUCAUCAGCAUGCGUUGAUUACGUCCCUGCCCUUUGUACACACCGCCCGUCGCUACUACCGAUCGAAUGGCUCAGUGAGGCGUUCGGACUGGCUUAGGAUGGUUGGCAACGACCGCCCGGAGCCGGAAAGUUCGUCAAACUUGGUCAUUUAGAGGAAGUAAAAGUCGUAACAAGGUCUCCGUAGGUGAACCUGCGGAGGGAUCAUUAACAGGUUCUGGUCGGCGGCUCCGUCGCACCGUUCCUCCCUCUGUCUACCGUACACUGUUGCUCGGGCGGGCUCCGGCCCGCGCGGGAUCACCACAACCUUUCUUAGCGAACGUCUGAGUACCAACAAAUACAAACAAAACUUUUAACAACGGAUCUCUUGGUUCCAACAUCGAUGAAGAACGCAGCGAAAUGCGAUAGCUAGUGUGAAUUGCAGAUUUACGUGAAUCAUCGAGUCUUUGAACGCACAUUGCGCCCCUCGGUUCUCCGGGGGGCAUGUCUGUCCGAGCGUCGUUGCAACUCUCAAGCUUGCUUGGUCAUGGGGAUCGUGCCGCCCGGCGGCGCGUCCCUCAAACGCAACUCGACGUGCCUUGUCAGCGGAGCGCAGUAGAAUGCCGCUCCGUGAGGUGCCAUCCGGGCUCUUCGGAGACUACCCAGUUGACCUCGGAUCAGAUAGGGAUACCCGCUGAACUUAAGCAUAUCAAUAAGCGGAGGA
rnacentral:rRNA from 1 species